rnacentral:snRNA from 1 species
GUGCUCAAUUUGGCAGGAUACGUAUUAAAACUAGAAUGAUACAGGGAAGAUUAGCACGGUCCCUGCACAAAGAUAACUCACAUUUAUACACUGCUCCAUAUUUUA